rnacentral:rRNA from 1 species
AACGAACGCUGGCGGCGCGCUUAACACAUGCAAGUCGAACGGUCCCGAUAAAGUCCCGUAAGGUGAUACUGGGGUAGUGGCAAACGGGUGAGUAACACGUGGAUAAUCUACCUUUGAGUGGGGGAUAACUCUGCGAAAGUGGAGCUAAUACCGCGUAAGACUACAGAAUCGCAUGAUUACGUAGUAAAAGGUUUCUGAUUUUCGGAGGUCGCUCAGGGAUGAGUCCGCGCCUGAUUAGCUAGUUGGUAGGGUAAUAGCCUACCAAGGCAACGAUCAGUAGCCGGCCUGAAAGGGUGUUCGGCCACACUGGAAUUGAGAUACGGUCCAGACUCCUACGGGAGGCAGCAGUGGGGAAUCUUGCGCAAUGGGGGAAACCCUGACGCAGUGACGCCGCGUGAACGAUGAAGUUCUUCGGGAUGUAAAGUUCUGUCAGGCGGGAAGAACCCCCUCGAUUGCAUCGAGGGAAUGACGGUACCGUCAGAGGAAGCACUGGCUAAUUCCGUGCCAGCAGCCGCGGUAACACGGAGAGUGCAAGCGUUGUUCGGAAUUACUAGGCGUAAAGAGCGUGUAGGUGGUUAGCUAAGCCGGAUGUGAAAAUUCCAAGCUCAACUUGGAACCUGCAUUCGAAACUGGUUAACUUGAGUGUAGGAGAGGAGGGCGGAAUUCCUAGUGUAGCGGUGAAAUGCGUAGAUAUUAGGAAGAACACCGGUGGCGAAGGCGGCUCUCUGGCCUAAAACUGACACUGAGACGCGAAAGCGUGGGUAGCGAACAGGAUUAGAUACCCUGGUAGUCCACGCCGUAAACGAUGGGCAUUAGGUGUAGGAGGUAUCCAAUCCUUCUGUGCCGAAGUUAACGCAUUAAAUGCCCCGCCUGGGGAGUACGACCGCAAGGUUG